UCUUCUCGUUUCUCUCUCUAUCUUCUUUUGCGUAAAACUCCAUUGAAAUCUGAAGAAGAGUGAAAAAUCUGAUUGUUUUUCUAUUCUUCUCUUCAUCCACAACUCGAUUAUCGCAACUGCCAUCUCACUGAUUCCCUGUGUACCCUAUUCUUCUUAGAUCAUAAACCCUAGAUUUCUUCUCAUCUUUCACUGAGCACCACCAACACCAUCUCUUGUUUAAUUUCCUAGAUUCAGUAUUUUUAUUUCUUAUCUAGGGUUUUAAUUUUAGAGAAGAGCAAGCGAUUACUUUGAUUGAUCUACGGGAGUGUGCAAAUUGAAAAGGGCCGAUUUGGGAUUUCAACAUUCAUCUGAAUUAUUUAGUGGGAUCAAAAACAUUUCAGCAGUCCUUUCUCAGGCCCCACUAAUGAAGGUUGAUGGCCAUGAAUCUGAAGGUUUUGCGACGGAUUGGAGUUCUCUUGUUCCCGGAUGAUUUUUAUCUGGGGAUUGCGAUGGUCAUAUCUACUUAUGGGAGCGUUCAUCUAAUGCAACGUGGAAUAUGGGGAAGAUCUUCGAGUAUGUAUGCCAACUUAAAAACGAAGUGUAGUUGCAGGAAAUCCUACACUACACCCCUCACAAGA